GCCCAGGUGCCGCGUGCCGGGACGACGAGCGCGGGCAGCAGAGAUGGCCCAGGUGGCAACAGAGAUGGCCCAGGUGGCAACAGAGACGGCCCAGGUGGCAACAGAGACGGCCCAGGGAGAGAGUGGCAGCAGCAGAUCAAACCCCGGAGCCCCUGCCCUGGGUGGGUGCCAGCUUCCCUGAGACAUUCCGUGCCUGUGACAUUGCUGUGUGCAGAGAUGAACGAGACGGGAAAAGCCACUGCACCCUGAAGAACUACAAUAUGGUGGGGGUGGCAGAUGCCAAUCAAUGACACAGAUACCUAUUUAA
rnacentral:lncRNA from 10 species